rnacentral:rRNA from 1 species
AUUGAACGCUGGCGGCAUGCCUUACACAUGCAAGUCGAACGGCAGCAUGACGUGUAGCAAUACACGUUGAUGGCGAGUGGCGAACGGGUGAGUAAUAUAUCGGAACGUGCCCUGUAGCGGGGGAUAGCCCGGCGAAAGCCGGAUUAAUACCGCAUACGCUCUACGGAGGAAAGCGGGGGUCGCAAGACCUCGCACUAUAGGAGCGGCCGAUAUCGGAUUAGCUAGUUGGCGGGGUAAAAGCCCACCAGGGCGACGAUCCGUAGCUGGUCUGAGAGGAUGGUCAGCCAAACUGGAACUGAGACACGGUCCAGACUACUACGGGAGGCAGCAGUGGGGAAUUUUGGACAAUGGGCGCAAGCCUGAUCCAGCCAUGCCGCGUGAGUGAAGAAGGCCUUCGGGUUGUAAAGCUCUUUCGGCAGGAACGAAAUGGUCCGUGCUAAUACCACGGACUGAUGACGGUACCUGAAGAAGAAGCACCGGCUAACUACGUGCCAGCCGCCGCCGUAACAC